GGAGGGGUGUCCGAGUGGUCGAAGGAGCACGCCUGGAAAGUGUGUAGGUCGAAAGGCCUCGAGGGUUCGAAUCCCUCCCCCUCCG
rnacentral:tRNA from 2 species